GACGAACGCUGGCGGCGUGCUUAACACAUGCAAGUCGAACGGAAAGGCCCUGCUUUUGUGGGGUGCUCGAGUGGCGAACGGGUGAGUAACACGUGUGUAACCUGCCCUUGACUUUGGGAUAACUUCAGGAAACUGGGGCUAAUACCGGAUAGCAGCUCCUGCUGCAUGGAGGGGGUUGGAAAGUCUCGGCGGUUGGGGAUGGACUCGCGGCUUAUGAGUUAGUUGGUGGGGUAGUGGCUUACCAAGGCAUUGAAGGGUCGGCGGCCGGGGAGGGUGGACGGGCACCAUGGGACUAAGAUACGGACCAGACGGCUACGGGGGGCAACAGUGGGGAAUAUUGCCCAAUGGGCCGAAGCCUGAGGCAGCGACGCCGCGGGCGGGAUGACGGCCUUCGGGGUGUAAACCGCUUUCGCCUGUGACGAAGCGUGAGUGACGGUAAUGGGUAAAGAAGCACCGGCUAACUACGUG
rnacentral:rRNA from 1 species